AUAUAUAUACCUAUAUAUGUAGGUAUAUACAGCUGGUUUUACCUCUUAAUAAUUUUGUAAUUCUGGGGUCAAUUUUUCACCUAUGUAUAUCCCUGUACCGCAGUCUCACUGCACCAAACCCAUGGCUGUUCGCUACUUUGAGACAUACAAAUGAGCUACUGUAUUUUAUAAGCUGAAAGACUAGCAUGCUUUUUUUUUUUUUCUCAUAUUGAGGGUUACAGAUGUUCCUUGGCAUACCUUUUACAGUUGUUGAAGUAUAUCAUAACAUUUUAGACUGCAUAAAUCUCAAACCCUUUGAGUCCGGGGACUAAUCAAAUAAGCCUGGUAAAUUUUCCCAGUGAAACUGCGAUGUGGUAUUUUGUUGGCAUUCCUCAAGCCACAUAUCUAAUCAGAACAAUACUUUUUUACAAAAAAUCUUACUCUACACCAGUCCAUUUAAAUAUUUCUAUUAAAUAAAGUGAAGUAUAUAAAGUUAACAAAAUAAGGAUUUUACUUGAUUGGCUUUUAUUGCAACUCGUUGUUCUUAGACAAGCUCAACAUGGUAGUUAAACAAAUGCAUCGAAAGGACUAAUGAUUUCUAACCAUAUGAAAUGUUGAAAUUUAUUUGAUAAUUCAUCUCUUGGUAAUCAUAGGAAUUGUCAAAUACUGCUUAAUAUGAGAACACAUAAUAUAUGUUAUUCUACAAAGCUAGUAGGUAACUGAUGCAAUUCUAAGUAAUGUAAGAUGGUGUGGGGUUUUUAUUAGUCGCUUACUGCAGUUAACUCGCUGGUACUUACUAUGCCCAUUACUAUCCAUUAGUAUCAUUAUGGGACAAGUCUUAAAGGAGUUAAGUACAUUAAGUACUAACAACUGCAGUAAUGUAUUACUUUGAUAAACCUUUAAAGUUGUUUGCUAAAAUGGGAAAAUGUUGGGGUAUAACUGCACUAUGAUUAAACUGAAUUCAAAUGAUUUAUAUCUGAAAGGUGACCGGCAAGAGUCAGUAUCUACUGGGCGGUAUGAUCUAACCAAAGUUUUACACACCUCAGUCAAUGCUGCUUGCUGUUUGCGUAACACUGUUGUAUGCAGAUGCAUAUGUCCACUUCGCAAUAAUCUGUUGCUUUUGCCUUUCACACUUUAGAAAGAUCUGAAUGAGUAUUGAUAACCGCAGCUGCUUUUAAACAAGACACACUGCAUUGUCUGACACAGGACAGCAAGCAAGCAAGCUAUAAAGCCCUGAAGUCUAUUGCAUUAGCUAUUCGUCCAUCAGAUGUGUUGAAAAUUAGGUUUAAACUCAGUAAUGUCAUUUAGAAAUACGGUAGCGUGGCUGCACUGCAGACCGCAUCAUAGUAUAGAAACCCUAAGCUACCUUUCAAUAAGCUUGCUUGGGGACUGUAAUCAGUGUAAUCAAAACAACCUGAAGUUUGCUACAAAGGAUAAUUUCUCCUGCUUCUCAGGUUAAAAGAAAAAAAAAAGG